AUUAGUUUUUUAAUUGAAGGCUAGAAUGAAUGGUCGGACAAGAAAUAAUCUGUCUUAGGUUAAUAUAUUGAAUUUAACUUUUAAGUGAAAAGGCUUAAAUAAUCUGAAGGGACGAUAAGACCCUAUAAAACUUUAUAUUGAAAAGUGGUAGGUAUGGUUUGUUUAAAAGGUUAUUGCUUUAAAGUAUUUGGUUGGGGUGACAAGGAUAGAAUGGAAAGUAACUGUUUUUUUUUUUUACAAUGAUGUUUGAGCUAAUGAUCCUAAAAUGGAUUAAAGAUUAAGUUACUUUAGGGAUAACAGCGUAAUUUUCUUUAAGAGUUCUUAUCGAUAAGAGAGUUUGCGACCUCGAUGUUGAAUUAAAGGUUCUUUAUGGAGUAGA
rnacentral:rRNA from 1 species